rnacentral:rRNA from 1 species
CUCUUUCUUAUUCUUAUUUAUAUAACUGUCACUUUACCGGGCCGGAAAAGUGACACCGUCACGUCUCAGGGUCGUAUGCAUGGAACAAGAAGGGUCGUCGUACAAUUUCGGCGAUUACAAAAAAGAAGGAGGCGAUCCCUAUCCCUCUUUGUCUUUCCACUUCCCGAACAAACACUUCGCCAAAUUCUUUUGAGUCCCGGCCCGGUUUUUCCCCACUAA